rnacentral:rRNA from 1 species
CCUACGGGUGGCUGCAGUGGGGAAUAUUGCACAAUGGUGGAAACACUGAUGCAGCGACGCCGCGUGAGCGAAGAAGUAUUUCGGUAUGUAAAGCUCCAUCAGCAGGGAAGAAAAUGACGGUACCUGAGUAAGUAGCUCCGGCUAAAUACGUGCCAGCAGCCGCGGUAAUACGGAUGGAGCAAGCGUUAUCCGGAAUGACUGGGCGUAAGGGGAGUGUAGGCGGCAUAUUAAGUUAUGUGUGAAAGCCCGCGGCUCAACCGCGGAAUUGCACAUAAAACUGGUUAGCUGGAGUGCAGGAGAGGUAAGUGGAAUUCCCGGUGUAGCGGUGGAAUGCGUAGAUAUCGGGAGGAACACCAGAGGCGAAGGCGACUUACUGGACUGUAACUGACGCUGAGGCUCGAAGGCGUGGGGAGCGAACAGGAUUAGAUACCCCUGUAGUC